UCUCAGCUGGCUUUCUUAUAGGACCCAGUACCACCAGCCCAGCGAGGGCCCCACCCACAAUGGGCGGGACCUCCCUCAUCAAUCACUUAUUUAAAGAUGCCCUGCAGGCUUGCUUACAGCCUGAUCUCAGGGAGGCGUUUCUUCAGUUGUGAUUCUUUGCUCUCCAAUGGGUCUGUCUAGCUUGUGUCAAGUUGACAUAACACUAGCCAGCACAGUCCAUGUUGCAAAAUGAAGAUUCUUUGAGGAAGGAUGAGAGCUACAUUUAUUAGGCUGGACAGGUGGACCAAUCUUUUCACUUUGCAGCCUGUUUUAGAUAUUGUUGAUGCAGAUUCUUUAUGAGUAUAUGAUUAGCAAAUGUUUUCUCUUCAGCUGUUUGUCCUUUCAGUCACUUAAUAGCAAACGUCAUGAAAUUCGAUGAAAGUUCAACGUAUUUAUUGUAUUCUGUAUGGAGCAUGCUUCAGGUAAGUCAGAUUUGUUAAUAUAUUCUUUUAUUUUCUCCUCUCUUGCUCUUUCCUUGUACUGUAUAGAAUAAAGCUGAGUCUCAUGUUUCAGGCCUGUAAUCUCAAUACUUGAGAGGUUGAGACAGAAGGAUUCCAAGCUGAAAGUCUACCUACAGACUACAGAAGAAUGUCCAAACUAUUCUUGGUACUUUAUUGUGAUACCAUCUCAAGAUGGAAAAUUGAAAAGUGCAGGGGAUGAAGCAAGAGUGUUUGUCUAUGUGCUAAAUCCCAGAUUAAAGAAAGAAAGAGGAUAUAAAGAUAGGAUGGCGAUGUGGGUGUUCCUGGGAGAAGUUGGGGGUAGAAAGAUAAUAUAUUCAUAAUACACUGGAUAUAUGCUUGGAACGCUCAAAGAAAAUAAAAGGUUUUUUUUAAAUACCAAAUAAAUCUACUUAAAACCACUGAGCAUGGUUUUCAGAAAUAUAUUUUAAUAAAAUAUCAAUGCUGAAAAGAUCCUGUAUAGUUUGGGAUUUUAUGUCCAAACAUAAUAAAUUAUGGAUUACCUUUGCUGUGGUGUGAGUUACUGAUUAAAGAUCUUUCAUGUUUGAAUUUGCAAUGGUUUGAUGAUCGCAUUGUGAUGAUAGUAGAGAAAAUAGGUAAUUGUGGUUGUAGGCAGAACUGACCUUGCUUUCUUUAAAUAACUGGUCCUGUGAUAUUUACCCAUGGCUCUCAGGCACUCAGCCAGAUGCUGCCGAUAAACGGUAAUCUCUGACUAACAUAAUGCAAAGACAGGCAGAUGUUUCUAGCUGUUCUGCACUCCCUGACCUAAGUCUUUUCCAUUGCGGUGAUGAACAUUUCCUGUCAGCUUAAUUUCCGUUUUUAUCUCCCUCCUGAGCGUACUGCAUCUUUAAGGAUUUUUUAUGAUGUAAGAGAGUGGGCAUUCAGCUUUGUCAAUACAGUAUAGGCUGUCAGGAAGCCACAGCUUCAUAUGGGAAGGAGACCCUCACCCAAAGUGGAUCAGGAAUCAGUGGAGGAUUGCUUUCUUCUCAUGGUCAUGAACACUUCUGAGCCACAUUGGAAGAAUCAGGUCUCAGUGCCCACAGCACAUGCUCAGACACAUACCCUCAGGAGGCCUUCCUGCUUCCUUGUUUCAUUACCCCAUGUCCCUCCUGGCUGCUUUCUGUGAUUAUGACACAAAUCGAACACCUGCACCCAAGUCCUUGUCUGGGACUUGUCUCUCAGGGGAUCUCAGAGUAAGGCACUGGUUAUUUUUAUCCUGUUAGAGGCAAUUAAAUUUUACCAAGAUUUUUUUUCAAAGAGUUUUCAGACUUGUCGAACUUACACUGUAGGUUCUGGAACUUGAACAUAGAGCAGAGAUCUGCUUCUUCUGAGUCUUCAGGAUCAACCUACUUAUUCCUCAACACCCUGAUGAAGGCACUGUGAGUUUAGGAACUGGGAUCUAGAGGGCAAGGAACCAGGUUGCAUGGCUGUGUCACCUGCUGACUGUGGAAAGUAACAGAUCACUCACAGUAUCUUGUUUCCCAAUUUUGUCAUUUGAAAAAUGGGCAUAGUUCUUAUUUUUAUCUCAAAGGACCUAAUUAAUUGGUGUUUAUAAGAAAGAGCACAGUGGGUGAUGAGAUCAGUGUGUUGCUGAUACUUGUGCUGUCAUUGUUUUUCCCACCCACCUUAUACUGGAGCUCUUUCCUUGAGUGUCCAAUGUCCAAUGUAUACACAAUAAUCUAGAAAUAUUCCCAAGAGGAAGAGCAAGAAAAGCAGCUGAGAUGAUCAAUGUUGCAGCAUAAACACAUUGUUUAAAAAUUACUGCAUCUUUUAGUGAAAUUGCAAUGUGAGUACCUGGAGUCAACUAAUUUUCUGAGGUCUGAUCACUUUAGCAGCCCGAGAGACCACAAGUGAGUCCCAGUUGCCUGGCAGAGCAAACUCAUGAAGUGGGAAAUGGCAUCUCACACCCAGCUCACAGUCUCCAAAUCGGACCCUUGUUUCCUCGAUGUGUCAUUGGUUUGGCUAUCUCAGCCCUGGACUUUGGAAAUGGUUAAGGAAGCAAGAAGGAGCACCGAGGUAUUGAUGAAAGGCUAUGGAGAGGCACCCAGCACACUCAUAUCAAUGAAAUCUGCAAUGUCAAAAUGGAAAGAAAAGCUUACAAACUACCCAAAGGAGCAAGCAAGGUCUCAGGCCCAAAAAAGGCCAGCAGAAGCUGUAACGUCUUGCAGGCAUAGUUGUCACAUAUGCCAUCUGGCUCCCUAGCCCAUCAGUAGUGCCAUCAAUAUCCUCUGCAAACAGGAAGGACGCUGCCUGUUGACAAUGUACGUGGGUAAAGAUUUGCUCUAGACAAUGAUAAUGUUCUCCUGGCCUUAUGGAUUAUUAGCGAUAAAAACUUGCUCUGGAACCAGGAAGAAUGAGGCAAGGUUUUUGUUUGUUUGUUUUUGUUUUGUUUCCUUUU
rnacentral:sRNA from 1 species